rnacentral:rRNA from 1 species
GACGGGGGGGCAAGUGUUCUUCGGAAUGACUGGCGUAAAGGGCACGUAGGCGGUGAAUCGGGUUGAAAGUGAAAGUCGCCAAAAAGUGGCGGAAUGCUCUCGAAACCAAUUCACUUGAGUGAGACAGAGGAGAGUGGAAUUUCGUGUGUAGGGGUGAAAUCCGAUAGAUCUAGAAGGAACGCCAAAAGCGAAGGCGAGCUCCUCGUGGGCCCUACCGACGCUGGGGCUGCGAAAGCAUGGGGAGCGAACAGG